rnacentral:ncRNA from 1 species
GAUUCGUGACAGCCAAAGCAAGGGAUUUGCUCCGCUGGCAGGAAAAGAUUGAAUUGGGUCAGAAUUAGCAGCGGUUGCUUUUGCCAGACGUGUUAUAACUAAAAAGGUUCGUCUGGAGGUAGGUGGCGAAACGGACCACUUUGAGAGAAAUCAAAAAUUUUCUGGUUUAAUACUCUUCAAUUCACUUUAUUAGUAUCCUGACCGACCACCAAAACCGUCGCCCUGGAACUGGUACGGACACGGGGAAUCCGACUGUUUAAUUAAAACAGAGGAGACAGAUGCUUGCGGAUGUUUACUGUCUCUGAUUUUUGCCCAGUGCUCUGAAUGUUAAAUCGUAGUAAGUCCAGUAAGCGCGGGUAAACGGCGCAAGUAACUAUGACUCUCUUAAGGUAGCCAAAUGCCUCGUCAGCUAACUACUGACGCGCAUUGGUUUUGCAUGGGCCGGUCCCU